rnacentral:lncRNA from 1 species
GUUUGAUUUCAGAUAUUUUGGAGUAAAAUUCUUGACUAGAUUUUUUUUUUUUUUAAUAGGACUACUAAAGGACCUUUGGAAGAUGAAACUUUGGCUCCUGAGUUACUUCUGAAAAGCUCUCAGAUGCAUGUGCGUGCACAGAAUUGCCCUGAUUUAACAGAAGACCCGUUAGGAUACAAAAAAACUGAAGUCAAGGGAGGAGACGGUGGAGAAAAGCGAAGAAACGCCAUCAAAUUGGCCAGAGCAGCAAGGAUGUUGUAUGAAUGUACAACGCACAUGAAUGUUAUUGGCCUGCAGACAAAACCCCACUCCUCUGGGUAAGGUGGCUAAACGUGCUCAAGCUCAUUCAAAAUCCUGCGAGGAUGAUUCAUUUGUUUGAGGCUGCAUCUCGAAGGCAGGUGUCCUGGCACCCAGCCACUGCCUACCCCCCUCCUUUGCCCACACUGUGCCGCCGCUGCUGUGAAGAACUACUGUCCUGGAUAGUUUAUCAUGCCAUCGAGCUGAGAGGCACUAAUUACCCUCCAGCAAGAGGGAGAAGCACACAAAGCCCAUGGAGAAGGAGCCUGCUUGAUCUUCUGCAUUCGCUGUGGGCUUAG